UUGUGGGAUGCAAAAUGGCUCAAUCGUGUUGUCAGCAGAGGAGCCAGCCAGUUAUCUCUUAUAGCCAUACAGUUACAUUUACAAAUAAGUACAGUCGAUAAAGUAUUGCUAAUAAUUGUUUAGAGAAUAUCACUUUGAUAAACAGCAACUUUUUAUUUGCAUUCGCCUCUUUUGGCCGAGACAACAGCCACCAUGUCCAGCAAAGUAGACAAAGUGAAAAGUGAGUCCAGUAUAAUACGUUUUGAAAGAAAAAGUACCACUACUGAGUCUGCCACAAGAGGAAAUGACAGAGGAAGUACUGAGUCUGCCACAAGAGGAAAUGACAGAAGAAGUACUGAGUCUGCCACAAGAGGAAAUGACAGAAGAAGUACUGAGUCUGCCACAAGAGGAAAUGACAGAAGAAGUACUGAGUCUCCCACAAGAGGAAAUGACAGAAGAAGUACUGAGUCUGCCACAAGAGGAAAUGACAGAAGAAGUACUGAGUCUGCCACAAGAGGAAAUGACAGAAGAAGUACUGAGUCUGCCACAAGAGUAAACGACAGAAGAAGUACUGAGUCUGCCACAAGAGGAAAUUACAGAAGAAGUCCUGGGUCUGCCACAAGAGGAAACGACAGAAGAAGUUCUGGGUCUGCCACAAGAGGAAAUGAUAGAAGAAGUACUGAGUCUGCCACAAGAGGAAAUUACAGAAGGAGUACUGAGUCUGCCACAAGAGGAAAUGACAGAAGAAGUACUGAGUCUGCCACAAGAGGAAAUGACAGAAGAAGUACUGAGUCUCCCACAAGAGGAAAUGACAGAAGAAGUACUGAGUCUGCCACAAGAGGAAAUGAUAGAAGAAGUACUGAGUCUGCCACAAGAGGAAAUUACAGAAGGAGUACUGAGUCUGCCACAAGAGGAAAUGACAGAAGAAGUACUGAGUCUGCCACAAGAGGAAAUGAUAGAAGAAGUACUGAGUCUGCCACAAGAGGAAAUUACAGAAGGAGUACUGAGUCUGCCACAAGAGAUGACAGAAGAUCACCAAGCACAGGGAAAGAAAAAAGGAAAACGAAACAGAGCCACAGUAGAUCAUCUUCCUCAUCCAGCUCAUCAUCAUCAUCCUUGUCAUCCUCGUCAUCCUCAUCCCACUCUUCAUCCCACAGUAGGAGUAGUUCCAGCAGCAGUGAUUCCCACAACAAAUCCAGAAGGAAUUCUAAGAAAAGGAAAAAGGAAAAACAACACAAGAAGAAAGGGAAAAAGGAGAAGAAGUAUAAACGAAAGAAGGACAAGAAAAUGACACCAGAGGAAGAAAGCGCUGGACCUGGACCUAUUCAGAUCUCCAAGUAUUUAAAGGAGAGGAGGAGAAAAGGCAAGUACAGCAUGAUCACAGGAAAGAAGAUCAAAAUGAAAUUGAAGAAGUCCAAGAAAGACAAGCUGAGGGACAAGAAUCGCGCCGAACUGCUUGAGUUCCUCAACUCCACGUUGUAAUGCAAAGGGCCGUCACCGUUGGUUAUGUUCCAGAACCUUCCAAUUUUUGUCCAGAACAGAACUCAGGGAAAGACGACCAUUUUGAUGAAGCUCUGAACUAACAUCCAUUUACAGGGUUAUUAUUAUCACUGCAAGAUAUGUGGGACAUGGCCUGUCAUCUCAAAAUGACAAAAUGUGCCAUGUCUCUCUUUUAGAAAAAGCGUGUUGUCACUCCUGUGGUUGUCGGCCCCUUUCUUCAGACCAAUGGAGACUGCUGAAGGAGAACGGCUCAUAAUAAUGGCUGGAACGGAGCCAAUGGAACGGCAUCAAACCAUGUGUAUUCGAUGCCAUUCCACCAAUUCCGCUCCAGCCAUUACCACAAGCCCGUCCUCCCCAAUUAAGGUGCCACCAACCUCCUGUGCUUCACACUGUUUGUAACUGAUGUCUGUGUGUUUGGUCUUUAGAAUUGUAAUUUUACUAUAACAUCAAAGGAGCCAGUCACUGACUUUUUAUCAGUAUGUUUGCUGCACAAGGUGUUGCUAAGCAAGUUAGAACAGUGUUGCUGUGGUGGAGACUACAGAUCAGCAAAGAUCUGAGUGAUGAACAAUAUACCUGGGUUCAAAUAGUAUCGGUUUUCUUUUAAGUACUUCGGUUGAUGAAGCUUGCCUGGCACAGUGGAACAAAAGGAAAAGUGCCAACCCGUCCAUCGUUCACGCCAGCAGGCUCAAGAGCUUAAAGUAUUUGAAAGCAAAUACUAUUUGAACCCAGGUCUGAUGAACAAAGAGAUUUGGGUACAUUUUAUUGUAACGUAAUCCUUCAAAUAGAACACCAGUCCGGCAUUGCAUUGUGUUUGAUGAUGAAAUAUGUUUUUCUAGUUGUUUUAAGAAGGUCCAAAACAGUCCUGCAGCUAUACUCUGGUCCCCUGGAAUGUAGUUAUUGUUAGAUAUAUUGAUUAUCAGAGAAUAAUGUAUAGUAUGUACAAAUCUGAGACUGGAAGCUGGAUGUCAUCACAUGUAAUACUAUAAAUCAAUAUUAUUUUGGAUGAGCUUUUUAUAUUUUGUGAAGCCCACUUGAUGUGGCAAACUGCUACAGUCCACCCAAUAAAGCAGCUCUUCUCUCAA